rnacentral:pre_miRNA from 1 species
UGAGGCAACCAGGUGCCACUAAUUGCCAGGGACUGAGCAUGAGCUUGUGUCAAGCCCACCUGUGCCUAGUUAGGGUGGGCCCCCACUGCAUAUGAGCAGGACUAGGGGGGUAAUCCUAAUCAGGCACAGGUGGGCUUGACACAAGCUCAUGCUCAGUCCCUGGCAAUUAGUGGCACCUGGUUGCCUCAAUUCACU